rnacentral:rRNA from 1 species
AUUAAUACUCUAUGUUUUCCAAUGCAGACAUCUAAGUUGGAACAAAGGUUCACCGCUAUAGGAUGGGGAUGCGUCUGAUUAGAUUGUAGCGGGUAACGGCCCACCUAGUCGACGAUCAGUAGGGGUUCUGAGAGGAAGGUCCCCCACAUUGGAACUGAGACACGGUCCAAACUCCUACGGGAGGCAGCAGUGAGGAAUAUUGGUCAAUGGGCGAGAGCCUGAACCAGCCAAGUAGCGUGCAGGAUGACGGCCCUAUGGGUUGUAAACUGCUUUUAUCGGGGGAUAAAGUGAGGGACGUGUCCCUUAUUGUAGGUACCCGAUGAAUAAGGACCGGCUAAUUCCGUGCC